rnacentral:rRNA from 1 species
GACGGAGGGUGCUAGCGUUGUUCGGAAUUACUGGGCGUAAAGCGCGCGCAGGCGGCCUUUUAAGUCUGACGGUGAAAUGCCGGGGCUCAACCCCGUGCCCGCCGGAGAUACUGGGAGGCUGGAGACGAGUAGAGGCAAGCGGAAUUCCGGGUGUAGCGGUGGAAUGCGUAGAGAUCCGGAAGAACACCGGAGGCGAAGGCGGCUUGCUGGGCUCAUGUCUGACGCUGAGGCGCGAAAGCGUGGGGAGCGAACAGG